rnacentral:rRNA from 1 species
CCUACGGGAGGCAGCAGUGAGGAAUAUUGGUCAAUGGACGAGAGUCUGAACCAGCCAAGUAGCGUGAAGGAUGACUGCUCUAUGGGUUGUAAACUUCUUUUGUAUGGGAGUAAAACAGGGUAUGCAUACCCUCUUGUAUGUACCAUAUGAAUAAGGAUCGGCUAACUCCGUGCCAGCAGCCGCGGUAAUACGGAGGAUCCGAGCGUUAUCCGGAUUUAUUGGGUUUAAGGGGAGCGUAGGUGGAUUGUUAAGUCAGUUGUGAAAGUUUGCGGCUCAACCGUAAAAUUGCAUUUGAAACUGGCAGUCUUGAGUACAGUAGAGGUAGGCGGAAUUCGUGGUGUAGCGGUGAAAUGCUUAGAUAUCACGAAGAACUCCGAUUGCGAAGGCAGCUCACUGGACUGCAACUGACACUGAUGCUCGAAAGUGUGGGUAGCAAACAGGAUUAGAUACCCUGGUAGUC